ACACAACUCUGGAGAGUCCCUUAAAUGGGCGCCGAAGGUGCAAAGAUGUUUAAUAAACGUCCUUAUCUCUCAGGCCAGUGGACAGAGCA
rnacentral:ncRNA from 1 species